UGUGUGUGUGUGUGUGGAUGAGAGAGAAAGAGAGAACAAGAUGGUGGAGAGAGACAAUGCACCAACUCUCUGAGUUCAGUAACUGUUACUUAAACACCAGAAAGCCAGUGGCCGGACUUUGAUUCAACGGCAGGUACACUGGUCUUUCUGAUUGUGAAAGCCGUUGACUGAAGGUAAACUAGCAUAGCAUUACAUACAUAGGCGAACACAGCAGUUCAUCACAAUAAAACAAAUGCAGCAGCUUACAACAGAUAAUAAACAGAAUGUGACGUCUCGUCAACAAUGAUGCAUAA